GACGAACGCUGGCGGCGUGCUUAACACAUGCAAGUCGAACGGAAAGGCCCAGCUUGCUGGGUACUCGAGUGGCGAACGGGUGAGUAACACGUGGGUGAUCUGCCCCUGACUUUGGGAUAAGCCUGGGAAACUGGGUCUAAUACCGGAUAUGACUCGAGGUUGCAAGGCUUCGGGUGGAAAGCUUUUGCGGUUGGGGAUGGGCCCGCGGCCUAUCAGCUUGUUGGUGGGGUAAUGGCCGACCAAGGCGACGACGGGUAGCCGACCUGAGAGGGUGAUCGGCCACACUGGGAGUGAGACACGGCCCAGACUCCUACGGGAGGCAGCAGUGGGGAAUAUUGCACAAUGGGCGCAAGCCUGAUGCAGCGACGCCGCGUGAGGGAUGACGGCCUUCGGGUUGUAAACCUCUUUCACCAGGGACGAAGCGCAAGUGACGGUACCUGGAGAAGAAGCACCGGCCAACUACGUGCCAGCCGCCGCUGUAAUAC
rnacentral:rRNA from 1 species